GCCUUUGGGCUUGCAUCAUAUAACACUUGGAGCCUAUAGUGGGUUUGGAGUGUUGCAAUUAAAUUUUAAGAGUAUUGGAGAUAUGAGUAGGAAUGUUAAGAGUAUCUAAAGGAUGGUUAGUCUUGAGAAGGUUCUAUGAAAUAGUAGGAAGUUAGAAGUAUUUAAUGAAGUGUCUAGAUGUAUCCAUGAACUAAUAUAAAUAGAGGAGGUCAUGUACUCUCACUUGUAACAAGCCAAAAAAUUGAAAUCAAAGUUCAAGUUCUAGAUAUACUUACUAAUAUUCUCCUCAUUCUAUAACCCCUCUACAAAAUAAAUUCCUCCUCCUAUUCCGACAUAAAUUACUUAAACGGCAAGAGUCAUGUUAAAAAAUUGGAAAUGAAAUUAUCCUCUUGAGGGACGCCAACAUCAAAGUACCUUAUAUGACCAUCGCCUGAUCUGAACUACCGGAAAAAAAGGUGGAGGAAUUGACCUUAGCGGCGUAGUAAGGCGCGGGUCUAUUAGAAGCACUGUUUGUAAAGCGGCGAGCAGGGCCGGGUACAGAGGCUCGAGCUCUGUCUCUGCCUCUGCCGUACUUCGUAUUGUUCUUUAUCAGAUCGUCCAGAGUCAUGUCCAGUGCAGCGCCCGCCAUUUUCAAGGUUUCAGAGGUUGAAGAAGGAGAGAGCUCGGAGACAAAAAUCAGAACCGGAGAGUUUAAUUUAUUGCUUUUUAGCUGCUAAUUUAUACUUGUUUAUAUAGGAAAGAGAUACACCGUCGACAAAAAAAAUAAUUAAUAAUUAGAAAUUAUAUUUUAUUUUGAGAAAUAAAAUAAUUUAAACACGACCAAAUUCAAUUUGAGAGGACAAAAUAAUUAGAGUUGGAUAGAAGAAAUAAGUGCAUUUUGUGGGGAAUAAUUUGAACGUGGGUUAAGUGCUGUUUGUUUAUAUUUGAUUGUCUUUUAAUGUCUGAUUGUCUCUUAAUGGAUUGUCUUUUAUUCGUUAAGAGGCAUGAUGAUGUUUGUUUGUUUUUUUGUUACCUCUGAAUGCCUCUUAAUCGGUAAGACAGAAAAUAAAAUCUUAAUAAUUAAGAGGUACCUCUUAAUGAAAUUUUUUUGAUAAUUUUUUUUAUAUAAAUAUAUUCAAUAAUAUUAUGCACUCAUUUUUAUUAAAUUGAAUAUUUAAAAUUAUUAAAUAAAAAUUUAUCCUUUAA
rnacentral:lncRNA from 1 species